CAGCACAGCCAUAAUUUUCUAAAAUAGUAAUAUGAAAAAUUGAGAAAUUUCUGGUUUUUAAGUCAUACAACCGCGACAUCCAAUUUUAUAAUGACUUUUAGCUCAAAUCAUCAUAUAAGUAAUACAAUGUUAACUGUUAAAAUAUCCCUUUUAUUUCACAAAUCACAAGAGUAUUCUAAAAAUACCGUACAAUACUAAAAGUUAUUGAGCUAGAGCAUUGAGACUGUCCACGUAUAUGCAGAUUAACCAAUGAAGAACCACCAUACUGCUACAUAACAUUAACUUUCUCUUUUGACAUAUUAGACUUGGGUCAUUCAUGUGGGCUUCGACAAAAUCAAUAUAGGCCAACACUAACAAACCCAACUAUGAAAACUUAAUCUUCAUCGUACACUCACACGAUUGUCGUCUCCCUCUCUUCCACUUCGUCUUCACCGUUCAGAUCAAUGCAACUCACCGUUUCUAAUCAGUAUUUAUCACCACCCCACUAUCAAUCAUUCAGAGCUGGUCAUUACUCCUUAUCUUCCUCGGAGAUGGUUUCGUUCCAACUUCCUAUCUGUCUCCUCCCUCCUAUAUAGAUUGUUUCGUUAAAUCUUACAUCAAACCAAAAUCUCCACCCUCAGCAGAAAAAAAGAAAGAAAAUAAGCUAUAGCCAUAAAAUCUGCUGAAGCCAUCGAAAUGACUAGAGUUGAUCUAAACGUCUUUUCAUCUUCUGCCGCCGACACAGAGUCUGAUCCGAGUGUCACCAUAAACGGCUUGAAACCCUUAUCCUUUCGUCAUCGGGACGGAUCUACCCUCGCCAAAACGAAUCAAAACAGCUGUUGGACAAGUUGUGCGCUUCUGGAGGAGGUUUGCGGAUGGAUUAAUGCUAAAGCCAUUGUUCCAGUAUAGGCUAAGAUGACUUCUAAUAUUAUUGACAUAACAGAGGGACGCGACAUCUUUCUCACCGGCGGCUCGGAUCAUGAAUAUAUGGAGACACAAUCAUAUCUCUAACAGUUUCUUCUUCCUCUACUAUCUUAAAACACUGUAAGUUAUGAUCGUAGAGCUGUGAAGUUUAAGACAGCCGAUUCUAUGUUCCCAGAGUGCAGAUCGAAGCUCUAAACUAAGCUGUAAUAAAUAAUUUUGAAUUGUUAAUGUUUUGUGAUUUGUAUUAAAUGCCUCUUUGAUGACUUCUAACAAGCUGCUGUGAAAUUGUACUGACGCAGGAGAAUGCUAGAAAUAGUUCUAUUGUUGUUCAGAGCACAGUAGAUUUAGGUUCAUGUAUGUUGAGGUCACCAACAAAUUGAACAAGUACAAUUCCAAAAUUUAACAUCUUGGGGGUAGUGGCGGAUGGGAGUUAUAGGUUGCAGAAGCGAGAACGCUGAAGAAGGAUUUAACAAAUGAGGUACAAGCUUCAUUUCAUAAAAUUAAACACAAUCUUUGCAUUGGCUGAUGGAACAAGCUUUAUUUUUCAUUGUGGCUACAUGAAUCUACUUGCUACGGGUUCGGGUUUGGUUUUGAACAUGUUUCUGAGAUCGACGUUGACAAAGAUCCGCUAAAGAAGGUAAAUGGAUUGAUUUCCUAUCUAGGCAAUGCAAAUGUGAUUUCGGGAGGAGCUUCUUGGGCUUUUAAUCAGUCAUUUUUGAGAACUGGAAAGGAGAAAGAGGUAUUGUAUCUUACAAUCUGUUUGGUGAUAGAUUCGGAAUGUGAAUAAUAUAAGGGCUGCACAAGUAUUUUGCCUGCAGCCCUUGAAACUGAAGGUAUGGUGGAGUGCAACUAUGAUGCUACUUCCAAAAUAACUGGUGGAUGGAUUUUACGUGGUCAUCUUGGCGUAGCUCUCAGGGGAAAACAUGAUCGGCUUUAGAGGCAGAAGCUAUGGUGCUACUCUUAAUCAUUCCGGAAUGUGAGAAACAAUAUCAAAUGGUGGGGCUCAAAAAUGUUACCGGUAAAAAGAUUUUGUGUUGUUCUUCGUUCUCUCAAUCACAUAGCACAUCAUAAUCCUCUUUGUAUGUAUAAAUUGUUUAGUAUAAAUAUCAGAUACUUUAAAACACACGAGUUUUGUAAUCAUUUGUGUUAUAUUAAUAUACAAAAUUAUAAAUAAA